AUUGAACGCUGGCGGCACGCCUAACACAUGCAAGUCGAGCGGCAGCGAGAGUAGUAGCAAUACUACUUGUCGGCGAGCGGCGGACGGGUGAGGAACACGUAGGAACUUGCCCUUUAGAGGGGGAUAACUAAGGGAAACUUUAGCUAAUACCGCAUGAACUCGAGAGAGGAAAGCUGCCCGCAAGGGUGGCGCUAGAGGAGAGGCCUGCGUCCGAUUAGCUAGUUGGUGAGGUAACGGCUCACCAAGGCGAUGAUCGGUAACUGGUCUGAGAGGACGACCAGUCACACUGGGACUGAGACACGGCCCAGACUCCUACGGGAGGCAGCAGUGGGGAAUAUUGGACAAUGGGGGCAACCCUGAUCCAGCGAUGCCGCGUGGGUGAAGAAGGCCUUCGGGUUGUAAAGCCCUUUAGGCUGGGACGAAGUGUUAUUGUUUAAGAGAUAAUGACAUUGACGGUACCGGCAGAAUAAGCACCGGCAAACUCUGUGCCAGCAGCCGCAGUAAAAC
rnacentral:rRNA from 1 species